rnacentral:rRNA from 1 species
UACGAAGGGGGCUAGCGUUGUUCGGAAUUACUGGGCGUAAAGCGUGCGCAGGCGGCUUCUCAAGUCAGGGGUGAAAGCCCAGAGCUCAACUCUGGAAUUGCCUUUGAGACUGAGUGGCUUGAGUACGAGAGAGGUGAGUGGAAUUCCCAGUGUAGAGGUGAAAUUCGUAGAUAUUCGCAAGAACACCAGUGGCGAAGGCGGCUCACUGGCCCGGUACUGACGCUGAGGUGCGAAAGCGUGGGGAGCAAACAGG